rnacentral:SRP_RNA from 1 species
UCGAGAGGUUGGUGCGGGCAGGCGCCUCGCCAACCCGGUCAGGUCCGGAAGGAAGCAGCCGUAACGAGUCCCGCUUGGGUCGUUAUCAAUCUCUCACCCU